UCAAGGACCCUGAUUCCAGAUAUGUCUGCUGUUCCCAAUCUUCAGAUGCCAGAAUGUCCUGGAGUCUGUGCAGAAGAAGGAAGUGACCAGAGCUAUGGAGAUCAAGUCCCUGAAGGAAGAGGAUGCGGGAACAACAUGAGCACAUUUUG